rnacentral:rRNA from 1 species
UGGGGAAUUUUGGACAAUGGGGGAAACCCUGAUCCAGCCAUCCCGCGUGUGCGAUGAAGGCCUUCGGGUUGUAAAGCACUUUUGGCAGGAAAGAAACGUCGCGGGUUAAUACCCCGCGAAACUGACGGUACCUGCAGAAUAAGCACCGGCUAACUACGUGCCAGCAGCCGCGGUAAUACGUAGGGUGCAAGCGUUAAUCGGAAUUACUGGGCGUAAAGCGUGCGCAGGCGGUUCGGAAAGAAAGAUGUGAAAUCCCAGAGCUUAACUUUGGAACUGCAUUUUUAACUACCGGGCUAGAGUGUGUCAGAGGGAGGUGGAAUUCCGCGUGUAGCAGUGAAAUGCGUAGAUAUGCGGAGGAACACCGAUGGCGAAGGCAGCCUCCUGGGAUAACACUGACGCUCAUGCACGAAAGCGUGGGGAGCAAACAGGAUUAGAUACCCUGGUAGUCCACGCCCUAAACGAUGUCGACUAGCUGUUGGGGCCUUCGGGCCUUGGUAGCGCAGCUAACGCGUGAAGUUGACCGCCUGGGGAGUACGGUCGCAAGAUUAAAACUCAAAUGAAUUGACGGGGUCGAU